UGGGAGAUCGUACAACGGUAGUACACAUCCCUCUGGAGGAUGGUAUCUUGGUCCGAAUCCAAGUCUCCCAGCCA
rnacentral:tRNA from 1 species